rnacentral:rRNA from 1 species
UACGUAGGGGGCAAGCGUUGUCCGGAUUUAUUGGGCGUAAAGAGCGUGUAGGCGGCCAUGUAGGUCCGUUGUGAAAACUCGAGGCUCAACCUCGAGCUGUCGGUGGAAACCGUAAGGCUAGAGUCCGGAAGAGGAGAGUGGAAUUCCUGGUGUAGCGGUGAAAUGCGCAGAUAUCAGGAAGAACACCCGUGGCGAAGGCGGCUCUCUGGGACGGUACUGACGCUGAGACGCGAAAGCGUGGGGAGCGAACAGG